CCUACGGGAGGCAGCAGUGAGGAAUAUUGGUCAAUGGGCGCGAGCCUGAACCAGCCAAGUAGCGUGAAGGAUGACUGCCCUCCGGGUUGUAAGCUUCUUUUAUAAAGGAAUAAAGUGAGGCACGUGUGCCUUUUUGUAUGUACUUUAUGAAUAAGGAUCGGCUAACUCCGUGCCAGCAGCCGAGGUAAUACGGAGGAUCCGAGCGUUAUCCGGAUUUAUUGGGUUUAAAGGGAGCGUAGAUGGGUUGUUAAGUCAGUUGUGAAAGUUUGCGGCUCAACCGGAAAAUUGCAAUUGAUACUGGCAAGCUUGAGUACAGUUGAGGUAGGCGGAAUUCGUGGUGUAGCGGUGAAAUGCGUAGAUAUCACGAAGAACUCCGAUUGCGAAGGCAGCUUACUAAACUGCCACUGACAUUGAUGCUCGAAAGUGUGGGUAUCAAACAGGAUUAGAUACCCCAGUAGUC
rnacentral:rRNA from 1 species